CGUUAAGGCGGUUGGCAAAGUUGGCUGUGAAAUCUCAGGGCUCAACCCUGAAACUGCGGCCAAUACUGGUCGACUAGAGUGCAAGAGAGGAAGGUGGAAUUCCCGGUGUAGUAGUGAAAUGCGUAGAUAUCGGGAGGAACACCAGUGGCGAAGGCGGCCUUCUGGCUUGUAACUGACGCUGUAGCGCGAAAGCGUGGGGAGCGAACCGGAUUAGAUACCCGGGUAGUCCACGCCCUAAACGUUGUGUACUAGGUGUUGGGCGUAUUGACGCGCUCAGUGCCGCAGCUAACGCAUUAAGUACACCGCCUGGGGAGUACGGUCGCAAGAUUAAA
rnacentral:rRNA from 1 species